AUUUAAAUUAAUCCGAACUCCUUGCACAGGAGGCGGGGGACUUUUUUCAAUGGGGCGAAUCCGCAUGAUAGUGUCUAGAGCCUGAGUUUUGUUGCACAGGCCCAUGUGGUAGGGAGCAGAGCCGCUUCCCGAGUCCGUCAACUAACCUCGUAGGACACAAAGGGGCUUCUU
rnacentral:sRNA from 2 species